CUCAUGGUUGCUGGUUGUAAGUCAUGUCUCAUAAAGGGAGAGAUCUCAUUUCUGAGACAUUUCAAAAUCCUUCACAUGCAGGCUACUGGAUGGGAAGCUGUGAGAAGCAUGGGUCUCUCAUUUCCUGCUGUGAGAGAAUGAAAAGAUUCCUAAAGCUCUGGCUGCACAGGAAAUUAUGUGCAACGAGGCUCCUCCUGCUUUGCUACUUGUUAUGGGCUGAAUGAAGGCUUCCUCAACAGAAACGGAAGUAAAAAUGACUACAGGAUGGCACAGCAACAAGAAAUAUCAGACGCCUUUAGAGCUUUCCUUACAAGAGGAAGAGUUCAUACAAGAGGAGCGGUAUCAUGUGAGGAAUCGAAUCUUCUAGAAGGAAUGAUUUUCUGGAACCUAAUAAUACCUUGAAAUGUUUGAGAACAGCAGUAUGACCAGUUUUGACGAGGACAUUCGAUGUGUGCACAUACGCGUUUUAUGCCCUCUCUAGUUUAUCUUGGCGUCCGAAUGUUGAGCCUGAUAAGGAAGAGCCAAGGUUUACCUUCCCUCUGGGAGGCACUGGUCCUGCCUAGCUAAGCCUGUGUUUCCAGACUUGCAGAUAUAAUCUGCACCUAAAUAAAGCCCUCAGGGCUUGGGUUUAACUCCGCGGCUGGCUACUAAUUGGCUCUGAUGGCCAAUGCUGCAAAACGAGAUGAAGAACCACUGUCAGUGCUUUGUCUUCAGCUUGUCUAGGGCUUCUUCGUUUCUGGUUUCUGGAGAUAAGGUUUUUAAAAAGAGCAACCAAGGCUGUGCAUGGCGGGACACAUCUUUAAUCUCAGGACUCAGAGGCAGAGGGACACCUGUGUGAGUUGGAGGCCAGCCUGGUCAACAUAGAGAGCUCCAGGUCAGCCAAGGUUACACAAACUCCAUCUCAGAAGGAGGAAAAAGAUAAUUAUUUAGGGUAAUCAUCUUUCUUAGUAUAUACUAAUAUGCCUGGUAGAUUUCCAGUAAUAUAUUUUAAAUCCUCUGUGUGUGUGUGUGUGUGUCCAUCAGAGGAAAACUAUUGGAGCUGAUUUGUUCUAGCCUCCUUUAUGUGAAUAGAAGGGCUAGAACUCAGGUUAUCAGGCUUGAAUGGCCAAUGUCUUUACCCACUAAGCCAUCUUGCCAGCCCCCUGGCUCAUGUCUUUAUAUGAAAAAGAGAUUAGGAUUUAGACACAUACAGAAGAAGGACGAUCUGCACAGAGAGAUCCCGGCUACAAGGCAAAGACAGAGGCCUCAGGAAACCAACCUUGAAGAUGUCUCAAUCUAACUUCUCAUCGUGAGGGAUGAGGAAAUCAACCUUGUCAAGGAAGAAGUGGGGUGG
rnacentral:lncRNA from 1 species